AGCAGUCGAGUAGCAGCUGUGUAGCGGUUGAGUGGAGAUCAUCCGAAGGUGCUAGAUAGCAGUAGCGUUGAGACAUAACAGUAACUUAAAAGUCUCAGGGAAACUUUGAUCACGCUUAAUUCAAGAUCCUUAUAUUUUGACUACAUCUCAAUCUCUUUUAGCCAUGCUUUGAACAGAAAGGUCUGAGUUGUUUAUUACAAUGUAGAGGCUCUCACCCGACUCUUUUGAUAUGGCAUCAAACUGAAGGAAGAGAUAGAAAUGACUUUCAAAGACAGGUGUAGCCAAUUUCAGAAUCCCUCCCCUUCAACCUCCGCUCGGAAGAGGAGAAUGUUUUUCAAGCAUUGUAAGUUCAAAGUCCGAAUAAUUACGCCGCUGCUAUUAUGGCAAACAACACCACCACCAAAACCACCAUCACCACCGCCGCCAGCAGCAGCAGCAGCAGCAGCAGCAGCACAAGAAGAAGAAGAAGAAGAAAUAACAGCAACAGAUUUAACAAAAACAAAAUCAGCAGCAGGUGCAAUGUUUGUGAAGAGAUUGUUCUCCAUGUAAAAGGGGAAAGUAGGUUUGAGCGCUGGAAGUUCAAAAUUAAAAAAAAAGUUGCUCCACUGACAUACUGACAAAGGAGAGUAACAGCAAAAGCAACAACAUUAGCAAUAGCUACAACAGCAACAAUGGCAAAGGUACUAAAGAUAAUGCAGGCAACAGCAGCAACGAACAACGGCAGCUAUAAAAGUAGAGACAGCAGUAACAGCGACAACAGCAGUAAGGACAGCAGAAACAGCAGUAAGGACAGCAGAAACAGCAGUAGCGACAUCAGUAGUAGUUUGUCAUUACCCUUACAGAAGUGGUUGUAUGUUACCAUUUUAGUGUCACGGGAAGAGUCAUACCAAGGCAUUAUUACGCGACUAUUUCUGACCUCGGCUUCAUGCCUGAGUUUGUCAGCUGUUUUGCUCGAAGAUGUCCUGUAAGAAGGAACCCAGUAAAUAUCCAUCUCGCUGCCAUUUAGCCACAAACUCUCUCCCCACUAACUGUCUUUGUUCAAUUUGUCCUUUAGUUGUGUUGUCAUAUUUUACUUAUGGUCUCCAAUCAGAGACCACAGCAUAUUUCCCCUUGACUUGUCUUGUCUUCUACCAUCUUGUCUCUGUAUUCAGUUUCUGCUUCGGAUUGAUUGUGGUGACUGGUGUGUAGCAGCUAAUUCCUCGUUAUUCUUGUUACCUAAAGGUCCGGAAAAGUCUACACAUAUCAUUUUGGAAUCUGAUAUCCUCUCCUUUAACUAAAUUAAUAAAAAAAAUGUAAAAACAAAACCAAAACAACAAAACCAAGAGAUGUAUAACUGUCUAGACCAUUGAUGAUUUCUGUAAUCAGUUGGCUUAGAUUAAGAAUAAAGGGGUUUUAGACGCUUGCAACAGAAUGGAAUACACCAAAGUUGCUCAAGGGACAGUGGGUGUAAAACUACCACCAUAAACAGGCUCAGUGAAUCAGAGCGGCUUACACACAGUUUCGAUCUGCCAAGGUGUAAAACUACCACCAUAAAUAGACACAGUGAAUCAGCGGCUAACAUACAGUUUCGAUCUGCCAAAUUAUGCUUAGAUACUUGGAUCGAAUCAAGACUACGAGAGACGACACUUUCCCAAGCUGUCAUACAGUAGGAUCAAACCUGGAAUAAUCUGACUCUGAAGAAAACUUUUUUACUACAUAACUUACUAGGUCUGUACUCUAAUUAAUAUUUCUUCAUUUAUAAGUAGUUUCUCUCGAAGUGCAAUAAAUUUCAUUUUUGUC